AUGGACAAGUGCGGGCUGUCCAAGAAGAGGAGCGGUAGAGGAGCAAUGGCCACGCGCAAGAACGGCGGCGGGCCGUCGUCGUUCCCGCGGCGGUGCGCGCGGCUCGUCAGGGAGCAGCGCGCGCGGUUCUACAUCGCGCGCCGCUGCGUCGCCAUGCUCGCGUGCUGGCGGCACUACUCCUGA
rnacentral:rRNA from 1 species